UACGAAGGGUGCAAACGUUGCUCGGAAUUAUUGGGCGUAAAGCGCACGUAGGCGGCUUUGCAAGUCCCAUGUGAAAUCCCACGGCUUAACCGUGGAAGUGCAUGGGAAACUGCAGAGCUUGAGUACUUAAGAGGAUCGCGGAAUUCCCGGUGUAGAGGUGAAAUUCGUAGAUAUCGGGAGGAACACCAGUGGCGAAGGCGGCGAUCUGGGAAGAUACUGACGCUGAGGUGCGAAAGCCAGGGGAGCAAACGGG
rnacentral:rRNA from 1 species